GGCUCCCGGAAGCGGAGCUGCGCGUGCGCGCCCACUGCGUCCCACUAGGAGGGGGCAGGGACGGGACGUGGGAAAAUGACUACGCGUCACUCGUGAUGUCGCGCAUCCGAUAGGCCCUUUUCAGAUGGCAAAAGGCCUGAGGGUGAAUCUGGGCGAGCUGGUUGAGUCCAUGCGUUUGUGCUUCCUCUCAGUCCACUUUCGCUUACGAUGGGGCGACUCUUGUCCAUCGUCACCUCACCGGGAAACUUUUCCUGCCGGGCCAGUUAAUGGUCCCCUGUACCAUCCCCAUCCUGAGUGACUACUAAGCAGCCGCAGCGACUCGGGGUUGCUCCGUGACCACGUUACUCAGUUAACCUUCUUGUUCCCUGGAGAGGCGGAGCUGAAUGGCCCCCUGAUUUUCCAGGCUUCCUAUAGAU
rnacentral:lncRNA from 10 species